rnacentral:tRNA from 1 species
GCUUAGGUGGCUCAGUUGGUAAAGCGACUGCCUUCAACUCAGGUCAUGAUCCUAGAGUCGUGGGAUCGAGUCCCACAUCGGGCU